UACGUAGGUGGCAAGCGUUGUCCGGAAUUAUUGGGCGUAAAGCGCGCGCAGGCGGUCCUUUAAGUCUGAUGUGAAAGCCCACGGCUCAACCGUGGAGGGUCAUUGGAAAACUGGGGGGACUUGAGUGCAGAAGAGGAGAGUGGAAUUCCACGUGUAGCGGUGAAAUGCGUAGAGAUGUGGAGGAACACCAGUGGCGAAGGCGGGUCUCUGGGCAGUAACUGACGCUGAGGAGCGAAAGCGUGGGGAGCGAACAGG
rnacentral:rRNA from 1 species